rnacentral:rRNA from 1 species
UACGGAGGAUGCGAGCGUUAUCCGGAUUUAUUGGGUUUAAAGGGUGCGUAGGCGGAUCGUUAAGUCAGUGGUCAAAUUGAGGGGCUCAACCCCUUCCCGCCAUUGAAACUGGCGAUCUUGAGUGGAAGAGAAGUAUGCGGAAUGCGUGGUGUAGCGGUGAAAUGCAUAGAUAUCACGCAGAACCCCGAUUGCGAAGGCAGCAUGCUGGCUUCCUACUGACGCUGAAGCACGAAAGCGUGGGGAUCGAACAGG